AUUGAACGCUGGCGGAAUGCUUUACACAUGCAAGUCGAACGGCAGCACGGACUUCGGUCUGGUGGCGAGUGGCGAACGGGUGAGUAACAUAUCGGAACGUAUCCAAUAAUGGGGGAUAACUAAUCGAAAGGUUGGCUAAUACCGCAUACGCCCUACGGGGGAAAGCAGGGGAUCUUCGGACCUUGCGUUAAUGGAGCGGCUGAUAUCUGAUUAGCUAGUUGGUGAGGUAAAGGCUCACCAAGGCGACGAUCAGUAGCUGGUCUGAGAGGACGACCAGCCACACUGGAACUGAGACACGGUCCAGACUCCUACGGGAGGCAGCAGUGGGGAAUUUUGGACAAUGGGCGCAAGCCUGAUCCAGCCAUUCCGCGUGAGUGAAGAAGGCCUUCGGGUUGUAAAGCUCUUUCGCAAGGGAAGAAAACUUACUUUCUAAUAAAGAGUGAGGUUGACGGUACCUUGAUAAGAAGCACCGGCUUACUACGUGCCAGCCGCUGCGGUAA
rnacentral:rRNA from 1 species